CCGGACGGGCGCAGCGGCCGCUCUCUCCCGGCUCCCGGGCGCCUCCGACACCGUCGUCCUCACGGUCGAAAAACUCCGGCAACCUCCCGGUUUUGUUUCUGCGGGGGAAGUAACAGGCGGGUUUUGUAGGGAAACGCAGCCCUACUCGUGUGUAACGUGCAGAGGUUCGUCUUUUAAGAGCAGACUGGGGAGGCCGACGAUACUGGACAACAGUGAGGGACAGAAUCUGAAGGGAUUCUGCUCAAUGCACAGCACCGAUGAGUCCGGCUCCUUCAUUGCAUUCUGUCAUGAAGCCAUGUUGGUGGUGAUGAGAAUGUUUUGGGUCCCCAUACAUUAUGGAUUAAUCCAUUUGUGGAUUCAUCAGACUGUGGUUGUAGGAACUGACUUGAGAAGUGUGAACUGAGAAGUCAGCUGCCACCUCGUGAGCAAACCUAUGGAGGAGCCCACCUAACGAGGACCUGGAGCCUUGUGCCAUUGGACGUGCAAGUAAACCUAGAAGCAGAGCCUCGAGCCCCAGCAAAAGAAGGAAAGAAAGAAAGAAAAGGGAAGAGAAGAAAAGAGAAAAGAAAAGAAAACUGGACCAUGCUUCCUCACGGGAUGCAGAAUAAAAUUUAAAAAGGAACGGACCCGCUCCAGUAUACCUGACCAGCCGGAAGCUGGAAGCUCUCCAUGGGACGUGUGGCCUCCGUGUGAACUCAUGAUGGAUGGGCCCACCAGUCAAUUAUCCUUCCACACUGGGAACUCUGGCCAUCACCGAGACUUUGCCAUAAUCCAGAUUUUAUUUAUUUAUUUGACAGACAGAGAUC